rnacentral:rRNA from 1 species
GACGAACGCUGGCGGCGUGCCUAACACAUGCAAGUCGAACGGGACUUGCCCCUUCGGGACGAAGUUUAGUUGGCGGACGGGUGAGUAACGCGUGAGCAAACCUGCCUUUCAGUGGGGGACGAACAGUUGGAAACGAACUGCUAAUACCGCAUAAAUACUUAUUAGGGGCGAUCUCUGAUAAGUCAAAGAUUUAUUUGCUGAAAGAUGGGCUCGCGUCUGAUUAGCUAGUUGGUGGGGUAAUGGCCCACCAAGGCGACGAUCAGUAGCCGGACUGAGAGGUUGAACGGCCACAUU